rnacentral:rRNA from 1 species
AGUUAAUCCGAGUGUCUCCUGGUAAAGGAGUCUUUUGUCAGUUGUAGAAUCACUGGUGAAUAAGGGGUGGGCAAGUUCUGGUGUCAGCCGCCGCGGUAAAACCAGCACCUCGAGUGGUCAGGAGGUUUAUUGGGCCUAAAGCAUCCGUAGCCGGUUGCAUAAGUUUUCGGUUAAAUCUAUGCGCUUAACGUAUAGGCCGCCGAAAAUACUGUGCAGCUAGGGAGUGGGAGAGGUACACGGUACUCGAUAGGAAGGGGUAAAAUCCUUUGAUCUAUUGAAGACCACCUGUGGCGAAGGCGGUGUACCAGAACACGUUCGACGGUGAGGGAUGAAAGCUGGGGGAGCAAACCGGAUUAGAUACCCGGGUAGUCCCAGCUGUAAACGAUGCAGACUCGGUGAUGCAUUGGCUUGUGGCCAAUGCAGUGCCGCAGGGAAGCCGUUAAGUCUGCCGCCUGGGAAGUACGUACGCAAGUAUGAACUUAAGGAUUGGCGGGGGAGCACCACAAGGGGUGAGCCUGCGGUCAAUUGGAGUCACG